GACGAACGCUGGCGGCGUGCCUAAUACAUGCCAGUAGAACGCUGAAGGAGGAGCUUGCUUCUCUGGAUGAGUUGCGAACGGGUGAGUAACGCGUAGGUAACCUGCCUGGUAGCGGGGGAUAACUAUUGGAAACGAUAGCUAAUACCGCAUAAUAGCAGUUGUUGCAUGAUAACUGUUUGAAAGGUGCAAUUGCACCACUACCAGAUGGACCUGCGUUGUAUUAGCUAGUUGGUGGGGUAACGGCUCACCAAGGCGACGAUACAUAGCCGACCUGAGAGGGUGAUCGGCCACACUGGGACUGAGACACGGCCCAGACUCCUACGGGAGGCAGCAGUAGGGAAUCUUCGGCAAUGGACGGAAGUCUGACCGAGCAACGCCGCGGGAGUGAAGAAGGUUUUCGGAUCGUAAAGCUCUGUUGUAAGAGAAGAACGAGUGUGAGAGUGGAAAGUUCACACUGUGACGGUAUCUUACCAGAAAGGGACGGCUAACUACGUG
rnacentral:rRNA from 1 species